rnacentral:rRNA from 1 species
CUGGUUGAUCCUGCCAGUAGUCAUAUGCUUGUCUCAAAGAUUAAGCCAUGCAUGUCUAAGUCCAAGCUGUGUUUACACGGCGAGACCGCGGACGGCUCAUUAAAUCAGUCGUGGUCCAAAUGGGCCAGUGCAAAUCCUACUUGGAUAACUGUGGUAAUUCCAGAGCUAAUACAUGCAACUGAUAUCCCGAAGGCUUGUGCUUGCUUGUCUUGCGCUUGUCUAACGGAUGCUUUUAUUAGACCAAGCCGCUGAGGACUUGAUUGCUCACGCUUUCUUGUUCGACUCGUGUAAUGGUGACUCUGGAUAACCAAUUCUGACAAGCGAACGUACUCCUCUUUGAGCGAGACGGCGCUGCCACUUUCGAGUGUCUGCCUUAUCAGCUAUCAACCGUUCGUUAUGCGCGACCGAUGGCUUUGACGGGUAACGGGGAAUCAGGGUUCGAUUCCGGAGAGGCAGCCUGAGAGACGGCUACCACGUCCAAGGACGGCAGCAGGCACGCAAAUUACCCAAUCCCAGCAAAUGGGGGAGGUAGUGACG